GUUAUCAACCGCAAAAAUAACAUUUAAAUAUAAAAAAGAGAAUAAAAGCUUAUUCCCCUUCUUAUGCCCGAACCAAAUGCACAUAACAGACCACUAUCAUCCUAACCGCACAUCCCUUCAUCCAAAGACCGAAAAACUAAUAGCACCAGCGAUUUGGUGCUAUUAAUAAUAUUCUAGCCUAGUCCAUAUAUAUAUGAGUAUGGCUACAAUGUUAUCAUAUAUAUUGAGCUAACCCCAAUUCAUAUUUGACUAUUUAUUCAAUAAGAGAUCAAUCUCGAGGUUAUUUCAAGCCACAUACGAGAAUGAGAGAUCAGUCUCGAAAUUAUUUCAAGCCAAAUACGAGCUCGUGAACAAAAAGUUGAAUUUUGGUAGCCUUACUUUCAAUAAGGACCAAAAUAUAAAAAAUAAAGUAAUCCAUCUUGAAUCUGCUCCGAUUCGCUAGGGAAAUGGAGCAGGAGGCGAGAGAUCCUUUCUUUCUUUGGUUUAUUCUGAUGUCAAAAAUUUGCUUUCAUCCCGACCCGCAGAAUGGAGCGAUAACUAAGAGCAAAAAGUAAG
rnacentral:lncRNA from 1 species